AACCUCUCAGGAUUGUAUCUGGAGAGUUUCCAGUACUCUACCAGUCCUGACUAUAGGAGGGAGAGUCAAGCAGAGGUGAAUGCUAUUCCAUUCCUAGCUUGGGGGGUGGCUAAUGAGUGGAAGGCAAUCUGCUACAAGU